rnacentral:rRNA from 1 species
UACGUAGGGUGCAAGCGUUGUCCGGAAUUAUUGGGCGUAAAGAGCUCGUAGGCGGCUUGUCACGUCGGUUGUGAAAGCCCGGGGCUUAACCCCGGGUCUGCAGUCGAUACGGGCAGGCUAGAGUGUGGUAGGGGAGAUCGGAAUUCCUGGUGUAGCGGUGAAAUGCGCAGAUAUCAGGAGGAACACCGGUGGCGAAGGCGGGUCUCUGGGCCAUUACUGACGCUGAGGAGCGAAAGCGUGGGGAGCGAACGGG